UACAAAAAUAGGCAAAGAGACCCUUAAUGAAAGACCCGUUGGACGACAUAACGGGUCUCUUUAAUACAAGAGAUCUUAUAUUAGUAAUAACGGGUCUCUAAUGUGUAUUGGACCCCACAAUUCACACCAAGUCUAGAGGAGAAAAGACCCCUAAAAUAAGCUAACGGGUCUCUACUUGUCAUUGGGCCCAGUAGUGUAUCGGUUGAAAAAAAACGAAAAGAGACAGAGACCUAAUAGGUAUGAACACGGGUCUCUUUCUUCAUCCUAGAUUAAAAAAUAAAUUAAAAUCCCUCCUCAGUAGUAGCCCUCAGAUUUGUGCACUCCUUCAAUUGUAGCCUCAGAUUUGUGCUAAACUCUAUUUGCUCCCAGCCUCCCAUUUCCUAACUUCCAAUCUCACUCUCCUUCAUCCUUCAUUCUCUAUCACUACGCUACCGCAACUCAGACUUCCACAAAGUCCGGAGCGGCUGGCUUCCAUAAAUCAUCGAUGAAUUCACCAGAAAACGGUCGGUUAGAAAGGUCUGUCAGUUGAUCGGUGUUGUCGUCGUCUUGUCGAUGUUCAGUUCGAAGAUGGUUUGCUCUUGAUUGGCCGAUCCGACUCAAUGGGUUCUUGAGGUUGCACCACAUUUGGGGAUAAUAUGAUUAUGAUUUUUGCUAUGGAUGGCCGAAGGUCUUGUUCGUGGUCAACCAUUUUGAACAUUGGAUCUCCUUUGUAAGAUUUCAUUAUUUUUACUGUUUUUAUUACGAUUUUUUUAUGAUUUGAUUUUAUUUUGAUUAAGAAGGGUGUAUUUUUAGGGUUUUGUUGAUUUGCAUAUUGUAUUUUUAGAUAUGUUUUUGUAGAUAGUUGGAUCUGGAUUAGUUUGGCUUUAUGUUUUGAUUCUUAUCGAUGUUGCGGUAGUCAAAUUAGAGAUUGUUCAUUUCACUAUUGUGAACAGCUAUCUUGACGUCUUUUUAUCAGUGAACACCAGAUGAUUUAUGAAUUGUGGUAUACGAUUUGGUUAUAUAUCAAUUAAUGUCUGUGGUAAACAAAUCAAUAAAUCCCAGAAAGUAUAUUAAUGCCAGUUUGUUGAGAAUUUGAAUAUUUUUAAUGGUUAAUUAAUGGAUGAAGGCGAGUUGGGUUUGAUUUAUGUGGGGUAAUACCGAGGAAAUCCCAAAUUCUUGAGUUGAUUUUGUUAAAUUUAAACAAAUUCAUGUGGGAAAUUAAAUUGAAAUGUAUAAUGUACUUAACAACUCUCAUUUUGGAAAAUGUAUGAGACACUCGUAGAUUCUCGUUGGUUGUAUAAUGAAUUUCAUUGGAGAGAAAUUUGAUCACGGGGAUGAUCUGAGUAAGUAGCUGACUACUCUUGUCAUAUUUUUUAUGUGUGUGUUUGAAAGUAUUAUAUGUUAAAUGGUGUUAUUUUAUUGACAUUUGUGUUGACAAUGGGAAGAGACUGACCACUAUUUUCCUAUUCACAUAUGCUAGUUCUUUGUUUUAGGGUCACUUAAUGUUUUUUAAGAUUCCCUAAUUUGUUUAACUUUUGUGUGCUGGUAUUGGGGGAUGAUUCUCUUCCUGCUUGCUUGGCUGAAAAGGGAAUUAUGUAAAAUAAGGGGAAGGGUAAAGUUGUACUGAAACCAGGAACCGAGGAAACAAAUGGUCCUCAAACAAGGAAUGCCACUCGUAGAAGAGCUGUUUCAUAUAAGGAUGCUCAACUAAAAUCACCUAUCACCCACUAGAGAAUCUAAUUGUGAGGUUCUCAUGUUGAAUCAGAUGGGGAAUGUAGAAGAAAACCUCUAAAGAGAAGAACAUGAAAGGGGGUGAAAAGCUAAAACAUGGAGAUGGCAAUGCCUUCUUGUUUUUUGUCAGAGAGCCAAGCAACAUUGAGAAAGUACGUGAGGAGGUAAGGUCCAAGGAGAGUUCAGAUUCGGAAACCACCAAAACCUAUUUGGAGGCGAACAUAUGCUUGUGCCCGCAUAGCUAAUAAUUAUCAUUCUUAAUUUGUUAAUCUUGUCAUUAUUAUGUACACUUUUGAGCCUUAUUUUAUUUUGUUAUUUAUACAUUUUUGGAGAUUACAAUUGAUGUAAAGUGGGAAAUAAUUUUUUUUUGUAAUUGUAAGAAUUAUUUGGAAUUACCAAAUUGGAAAUGCUGAUUUAAUGAUUUUUUAGGCCGAAAAUAUUUUAUGCUGAAUUUUCAGGCCGAAAUUAUUUA